UACUGCGAGAUCCUACAUGGCUAAACCUCGAAAGCCAAGGCAAUGCCAAUGUUGCAGGGUCGUCGGCCACACGAGGAGAACUUGCCCCCAAAACAAUCAUAAAACGGGACAAGUGGGUAGAAAUUUGUUUGAGGAAUACGAUGAUUAUGAUCCAAUUGGUACUCCCACCCCUUUUACACCGAAGCGUCCCAGGAAUAAUAUGAGGCCAUGUAAGAUUCACCCUGUGAAGAGAUGACUUUUUGUCACUAAUGUGGAUACGUCUCCAGUGCAGUUGAGCAAGGAUGUUAAUGACUUGCGUACUUGCGAUGCACAAGUUGUCCAAAAUUCAGCGUUCACUGAUGCGGAUACGUCUCUAGGUGUUGCUGUGGGUAAUAGUUGAUAUGAUCGAGCGGGUGAUAUUGGAAGCUAAACUAAGAUUUUUUUUAAAUUUUUUUUUGAGGACUUAAAUCUGUUAGUAUUUUGUAUAAAUACUCUUAAAUGAUGGUUGAUGGAUAUUUGUUUUGCUGUAUGGAAGUUCAUAUUUUGUAUGCACACUUCUUUUUUUCCUUGAAGAAAGAAUUUUGUAAGGAAUUAUCAUUCACCAAACGAGGUUGUAAGAAAUCCUACACUGCCUUGCAAUAGUAACUUGCUUUUCAAUAUUGUUGAUCUUC